UACGAAGGGGGCUAGCGUUGUUCGGAUUUACUGGGCGUAAAGCGCACGUAGGCGGAUCUUUAAGUCAGAGGUGAAAUCCCAAGGCUCAACCUUGGAACUGCCUUUGAUACUGGGGAUCUUGAGUCCGGGAGAGGUGAGUGGAACUGCGAGUGUAGAGGUGAAAUUCGUAGAUAUUCGCAAGAACACCAGUGGCGAAGGCGGCUCACUGGCCCGGUACUGACGCUGAGGCGCGAAAGCCAGGGGAGCAAACGGG
rnacentral:rRNA from 1 species